ACGCUGUUAACACUAGGCUAGCAUCAACCAAACGUUAUAUGUUCAUCAUGAAUUUUUUAGGGGUUUAGGUGAGUCACAGUUCAGUCAGGGUUCAGGUGAAUCAGGGUUCAGGUGAGUCAGGGUUCAGGUGAGUCAGGGUUCAGGUGAGUCAGGGUUCAGGUGAGUCAGGGUUCAGGUGAGUCAGGGUUCAGGUGAGUCAGGGUUCAAGAGAGUCGGGGUACAGGUGAGUCACGGUUCAGUCAGGGUUCAGGUGCGUCACGGUUCAGUCAGGGUUCAGGUGAGUCACGGUUCAGUCAGGGUUCAGGUGCGUCACGGUUCAGUCAGGGUUUAGGUGAGUCACGGUUCAGUCAGGGUUUAGGUGAGUCACGGUUCAGUCAGGGUUCAGGUGCGUCACGGUUCAGUCAGGGUUCAGGUGAGUCACGGUUCAGUCAGGGUUCAGGUGAGUCACGGUUCAGUCAGGGUUCAGGUGAAUCACGGUUCAGUCAGGGUUCAGGUGAGUCACGGUUCAGUCAGGGUUCAGGUGAAUCACGGUU